AUGACUGUCACAUGGACAAGUGGGUAUGGCAUCAGUGAGGCGCACCCCUUUGUUGAAUGGGGCAUGAAAGGGAGCCAUCCUGUGCACGCGACAGCUGACACUGUCACCUUUGGUCGCGAGAGCCUCUGUGGAGAACCUGCUCGUAGUGUUGGUUGGAGGGAUCCAGGCUUCAUACACACAGCUUUCCUGAAGAAUCUAUCACCAGAGAAAGAAUACUACUACAAAAUCGCACACACGCUCCAUGGUGGAAAAGUUAUAUGGGGCAAGCCCAAAUCCUUCAGAGCACCUCCUUAUCCCGGGCAAAAGUCACUGCAGCGGGUUGUUAUUUUCGGUGACAUGGGAAAGGACGAGAGAGACGGAAGCAACGAGUACCAGAAUUACCAGCCUGCGUCACUCAACACCACCGACGCGCUGAUCAGGGACCUCGACAACACCGACAUCGUGUUCCACGUCGGCGACAUCUCCUACGCUAACGGCUAUCUGUCGCAGUGGGAUCAGUUCACGCAGCAGGUCGAGCCAAUCACCUCUCGAGUACCCUACAUGAUCGCAAGGCGGGAACCACGAGCGAGAUUUCCCCAACAGCGGGUCGCUGUACAACGGCACGGACUCCGGCAGGGAGUGCGGGGUGCCGGCCGAGACCAUAUACUACGCGCCGACGGAGAAGAGGGACAACUACUGGUACUCCAUGGACUACGGGAUGUUCCGGUUCUGCGUGGCGGACAGCGAGCACGACUGGCGGGAGGGCACGGAGCAGUACAGUACAGGUUUCUCGACCGCUGCCUGGGCAGCGUGGACCGGGCGAAGCAGCCGUGGCUGGUCUUCAUCGCGCACCGUGUCCUCGGCUACUCCUCGGGCUUCUUCUACGGCUACGACGGGGCGUUCGCGGAGCCCAUGGCGCGGCAGAGCCUGGAGGGGCUGUGGCGGCGGCACCGGGUGGACGUCGCCUUCUACGGCCACGUCCACCAGUACGAGCGGACGUGCCCUGUCUACGAGGAGAGGUGCGUGCCGGACGGGCACGGCACCGUCCACGUCGUCGUCGGGGGCGGCGGCAGCCACCUGAGCAGCUUCACCGCCGAGGCCCCGCCGUGGAGCGUGUACCGGGAGAUGGACUACGGUUUCGGCAAGCUCACGGCGUCCGACGCCAGGUCGCUCCAGUUCGAGUACCGGCGGUCCAGCGACGGCAAGGUGUACGACAGCUUCACCCUGCACAGGGACUGA
rnacentral:rRNA from 1 species